CUCUCACUCUGCAGUAGCCUCUAGAGCAUCCCAAAGCAGCAAGGCCUUUUUCUUUACCAGAUACUAGAGGGAGGGAGAGCUCCUGAGACCUGAAUAAAACCAAUCACAAAACUAGGUGAGAAUUUCUUUAGAUUUUAACUAAGAAUGCAAUACUAUUUCCAGCCAGUUUCCCAUCUCGAUAGUCAUGUAACAAACCAAGGCAAUGACGGUCUUUAGUUGACUGAACAGUUCUCAAGUUCAAACGUUGACACUUAAUAAAGGGUCUCAGCAUUGCUGCUCCGAGGCCUCUUGAUCUUCUCAAUGUUUUUAAGGAUCAUGUCAUGCAAAGUGACAUAUUGAUUCCUCAGCUCUGAAAUGAUCAGGCGCAGACUAAUGUACUCCUUCUCAUCAAUCUCCGUCACUGUGCGGCGGUAGUCCUCCACAUGAGGGUACUUAGCUAUUUUGGAAACCAACUUGGCUCUUGUGAUAUAAUAUCUAGAAAUCUGGUCCAGAUAGGAUGCUGCCUCACUCUCCACAGUUCGAAGCUCAGCAACUGUUUCCUCCUGAAUAGAAACACCAAAGUUGUUUCCAUCUUCUAUCCUGGGAAUUAGAAGUUGCACCCACAUUUUGACCGUAUUACACUUCUCAAUAAGCAGCCUGAUCUCUGGUUUCACUUUCUCAAUGAUAUCCACCAGCUGCUGGUUGCUCUUCAGCAUCCCAUUGGGCAUCACAAACACUUUGGUACCCUGAAAGGUCUCUUCACGGUCUUCCAGCUUCCUCUUUUUCAUAUUUGGCCCAUCCAGUCCAUCAUGGCUGUUUGUGAGAAGAAUUGGGUCAGGCACUGGGAGGUUCAUGUCCGAAUGGAUCUGAGUGAGAUCAUGAAUAUUCAGGAUGGGCUCUUUCAGGAACCCAUCAAGUUCUAACAGCUUCUUUGGGAAAAAGUUUGCCACCAGAUCUUCUGCCUCGCUCGUGAUCCGCUCUCUGAAGGAGUCAACCUUGAGCUUCACCUCCGGGUCCACCUUGAGCAGCGAGGCCAUAGCGGCAGGUGCGAAUCCGGGUCUCGCCGUGCCACGGGCCGCGCCAGCCGCCCACCCCACCACCGCCACCGGCUCCGCUGCCGCCGGAAGUGAGGUCACGCAGCGUACCCGCCA
rnacentral:lncRNA from 1 species